rnacentral:rRNA from 1 species
GUGGGGAAUUUUGGACAAUGGGGGCAACCCUGAUCCAGCCAUGCCGCGUGCGGGAAGAAGGCCUUCGGGUUGUAAACCGCUUUUGUCAGGGAAGAAAUCCUUUGGGUUAAUACCUCGGAGGGAUGACGGUACCUGAAGAAUAAGCACCGGCUAACUACGUGCCAGCAGCCGCGGUAAUACGUAGGGUGCGAGCGUUAAUCGGAAUUACUGGGCGUAAAGCGUGCGCAGGCGGUUUUGUAAGAUCGAUGUGAAAUCCCAGGGCUCAACCUGGGAACUGCAUUGGUGACUGCAAGGCUGGAGUGCGGCAGAGGGGGAUGGAAUUCCGCGUGUAGCAGUGAAAUGCGUAGAUAUGCGGAGGAACACCGAUGGCGAAGGCAAUCCCCUGGGCCUGCACUGACGCUCAUGCACGAAAGCGUGGGGAGCAAACAGGAUUAGAUACCCCAGUAGUCC